rnacentral:rRNA from 1 species
AGAGGGUGCAAACGUUGUUCGGAAUUACUGGGCGUAAAGCGCGUGUAGGCGGCUUGGCAAGUCGGGUGUGAAAGCCCUGGGCUCAACCUAGGAAGUGCACUCGAAACUGCCUCGCUUGAAUGCCGGAGAGGAAAGCGGAAUUCUCGGUGUAGAGGUGAAAUUCGUAGAUAUCGAGAGGAACACCGGUGGCGAAGGCGGCUUUCUGGACGGUGAUUGACGCUGAGACGCGAAAGCGUGGGGAGCAAACAGGAUUAGAUACCCUGGUAGUCCACGCCGUAAACGAUGGGUGCUAGGUGUCGCGGGCUUUGACCCCUGCGGUGCCGUAGCUAACGCAUUAAGCACCCCGCCUGGGGAGUACGGCCGCAAGGCUAAA